AUUGAACGCUGGCGGCAGGCUUAACACAUGCAAGUCGAGCGAGCGGCGGACGGGUGAGUAAUGUCUGGGAAACUGCCUGCUGGAGGGGGAUAACUACUGGAAACGGUAGCAACUACCGCAUACCAUCAGAUGUGCCCAGAGGGGCUUAGCUAGUAGGUGGGGUAAUGGCUCACCUAGGCGACGAUCCCUAGCUGGUCUGAGAGGAUGACCAGGACCACUGGAACUAAGGCACGGUCCAGACUCCUACGGGAGGCAGGGGAGGGGAAUGUUGGAAAAUGGGCGCAAGCGUGAUGAGGACAUGCCGCGUGUGUUAAGAGGGCCGUGGGGUUGUACAGCACUUUAAGCGAGGAGGCGUUACUCGCAGAAGAAGCGCCGGCUAACUCCGUGCCAGCAGCCGCGGUAAUUC
rnacentral:rRNA from 1 species